rnacentral:rRNA from 1 species
UACGUAGGGUGCAAGCGUUGUCCGGAAUUAUUGGGCGUAAAGAGCUCGUAGGCGGUCUGUCGCGUUCUGCUGUGAAAACUCAGGGCUUAACCCUGAGCUUGCAGUGGGUACGGGCAGACUAGAGGUGCGGUAGGGGAGACUGGAAUUCCGUGGUGAUAGCGGUGAAAUGCGCAGAUAUCGGGAGGAACACCGGUGGCGAAGGCGGCGAUCUGGAUAGAUACUGACGCUGAGG